GCGUGCUUAACACAUGCAAGUCGAACGAUGAAGCCCUUCGGGGUGGAUUAGUGGCGAACGGGUGAGUAACACGUGGGCAAUCUGCCCUGCACUCUGGGACAAGCCCUGGAAACGGGGUCUAAUACCGGAUACUGAUCGCCUUGGGCAUCCUUGGUGAUCGAAAGCUCCGGCGGUGCAGGAUGAGCCCGCGGCCUAUCAGCUUGUUGGUGAGGUAAUGGCUCACCAAGGCGACGACGGGUAGCCGGCCUGAGAGGGCGACCGGCCACACUGGGACUGAGACACGGCCCAGACUCCUACGGGAGGCAGCAGUGGGGAAUAUUGCACAAUGGGCGAAAGCCUGAUGCAGCGACGCCGCGUGAGGGAUGACGGCCUUCGGGUUGUAAACCUCUUUCAGCAGGGA
rnacentral:rRNA from 1 species